rnacentral:rRNA from 1 species
GAAUGCUGACAUAAGUAACGAUAAAGCGGGUGAAAAGCCCGCUCGCCGGAAGACCAAGGGUUCCUGUCCAACGUUAAUCGGGGCAGGGUGAGUCGACCCCUAAGGCGAGGCCGAAAGGCGUAGUCGAUGGGAAACGGGUUAAUAUUCCCGUACUUGGUGUUACUGCGAAGGGGGGACGGAGAAGGCUAUGUUGGCCGGGCGACGGUUGUCCCGGUUUAAGCGUGUAGGUGUGUGUUCCAGGUAAAUCCGGUUCACUUUAACACUGAGGCGUGACGACGAGGCACUACGGUGCUGAAGCAACAAAUGCCCUGCUUCCAGGAAAAGCCUCUAAGCAUCAGGUAACAUCAAAUCGUACCCCAAACCGACACAGGUGGUCAGGUAGAGAAUACCAAGGCGCUUGAGAGAACUCGGGUGAAGGAACUAGGCAAAAUGGUGCCGUAACUUCGGGAGAAGGCACGCUGACACGUAGGUGAAGUGAUUUACUCACGGAGCUGAAGUCAGUCGAAGAUACCAGCUGGCUGCAACUGUUUAUUAAAAACACAGCACUGUGCAAACACGAAAGUGGACGUAUACGGUGUGACGCCUGCCCGGUGCCGGAAGGUUAAUUGAUGGGGUCAGCGCAAGCGAAGCUCCUGAUCGAAGCCCCGGUAAACGGCGGCCGUAACUAUAACGGUCCUAAGGUAGCGAAAUUCCUUGUCGGGUAAGUUCCGACCUGCACGAAUGGCGUAAUGAUGGCCAGGCUGUCUCCACCCGAGACUCAGUGAAAUUGAACUCGCUGUGAAGAUGCAGUGUACCCGCGGCAAGACGGAAAGACCCCGUGAACCUUUACUAUAGCUUGACACUGAACAUUGAGCCUUGAUGUGUAGGAUAGGUGGGAGGCUUUGAAGUGUGGACGCCAGUCUGCAUGGAGCCGACCUUGAAAUACCACCCUUUAAUGUUUGAUGUUCUAACGUGGACCCGUAAUCCGGGUUGCGGACAGUGUCUGGUGGGUAGUUUGACUGGGGCGGUCUCCUCCUAAAGAGUAACGGAGGAGCACGAAGGUUGGCUAAUCCUGGUCGGACAUCAGGAGGUUAGUGCAAUGGCAUAAGCCAGCUUGACUGCGAGCGUGACGGCGCGAGCAGGUGCGAAAGCAGGUCAUAGUGAUCCGGUGGUUCUGAAUGGAAGGGCCAUCGCUCAACGGAUAAAAGGUACUCCGGGGAUAACAGGCUGAUACCGCCCAAGAGUUCAUAUCGACGGCGGUGUUUGGCACCUCGAUGUCGGCUCAUCACAUCCUGGGGCUGAAGUAGGUCCCAAGGGUAUGGCUGUUCGCCAUUUAAAGUGGUACGCGAGCUGGGUUUAGAACGUCGUGAGACAGUUCGGUCCCUAUCUGCCGUGGGCGCUGGAGAACUGAGGGGGGCUGCUCCUAGUACGAGAGGACCGGAGUGGACGCAUCACUGGUGUUCGGGUUGUCAUGCCAAUGGCACUGCCCGGUAGCUAAAUGCGGAAGAGAUAAGUGCUGAAAGCAUCUAAGCACGAAACUUGCCCCGAGAUGAGUUCUCCCUGAGACUUAGAGUCUCCUGAAGGAACGUUGAAGACGACGACGUUGAUAGGCCGGGUGUGUAAGCGCAGCGAUGCGUUGAGCUAACCGGUACUAAUGAACCGUGAGG